UACAGUGGUCUCAACCGUUGCUCGGAAUCAUUGGGCGUAAAGCGCACGUAGGCGGUUCGUUAUGUCGGAUGUGAAAGCCCUUGGCUUAACCGAGGAAGUGCAUCCGAAACUGGCGAGCUAGAGUACGAAAGAGGAUCGCGGAAUUCCCGGUGUAGAGGUGAAAUUCGUAGAUAUCGGGAGGAACACCAAUUGCGAAGGCAGCUCGCUGGGACGUUACUGACGCUGAGACGCGAAAGCGUGGGGAGCAAACAGG
rnacentral:rRNA from 1 species